CACAGCGUCCGGGCACCAAGACCAGGGCUGUGAGGGUCCCUGCGUGGUCCUCCCAGCAAGAGGAGGGAAGGGUCCCUUGGUCAGUGCAGGCAGGGAAGGCCCCUGGGGGAGGUGGACCGCGAUCGGCCCCAGCGGAGGUGGAGGAGGGCUUGGAGGUGGGAGGAGGGGCCCAAGGGCCCUGAGAGGCAAGUGGGAACAGGGGUGUGUAGGGCUACAGACAGCAUUCCAACAGUGAGGAGGGGGGGCCCGUAGGGCGGAAGGGGGAGUCACAGCCACACGGAUGAGGCUGGAAGAGAGGAAGGGCAUCCUAGGAGGACAUCCCCUCCGCUGGGGAAAGACGCCCCAAGGAGCUGAAAGGCCACCAAGCACCCCAGCCGGCCGGAGUAGUCCCCGAGGGUUCCCGGGCAGGCAGGGCUGCUGUCAGCCCCUCAGUCACUCCCCAGGGCCCACGGUGACAGUGAAUGAGGGGGUUUCUACAAUGAGGGCAGCCCAGGGGUCCUAGACCCCCGCCCCCCCCGCCCCCCGCUCUGGGCUCCAUGUCCAUCCUCACCCACCCACCUCACUCUGGCGGACGUGCAUGCCCCCACUCGAGAGGAGGACUGACUCCCCUGUGGAGACUCCAGAAGUACCACAAGAUCCAUGUCAGCACUGGAGAGGAAUCCUCAGGUUCCGGCCCCGACUCCACACAAGGCUGGGGGCGGGAUGGAGAUCGGAGAGGCCAGCACACGAAGUCACGGGACAUCUGGGGCCAAUCACAGGAGCAUCGUUAACGCAAGCACAGCCACACCCCACGCUCCUAAAGGCUGCGCCAGCCACUGUCCCUGCUCCCGGCUUCUGGGGGAGGGGGCCUCCUGCUCUGGACCCCGAGCUGACCCCAAGCCAGCCCCGGUGCCCCGUCCACUCAGGCGGAGCUCACGUCCCUCUUUCCUCCUCACUGGCCCUGGGCCAGCCCAGCUCUUUCCCUAGGAAGGCAUCCUCCCAGCCUCCAAGGUCACCUGAGGCCACACUGGACCCCAUGGAUGGGCUGUCCCCGCCCCGCCCCCCGCCCAGGGUUCUGGGUCACCCAUGGCCCGAGCGCCCUCUGGCCUCCUCGGCCCCUGCCACUCCAGCAGCUGCUCACCUGUCCCCCCGUCCUGUAAAGGGGGGGACCCCCAGGCCCUUCUGCCCCAUAACUGCUCCUGGUUCUCAGGGGCUGGGCACCCGACAUGGGAUGAACUGGGACAGGCUGGAGGCUUGGACGGGUGCCAGCCCCUGGCCAUCGAGGGCAGCACGCACGGACUGGGAGCUGGGAGCCUUGCCAGUGCCCGCCGGGCCUCCCCGAGCUUGACUGUGAGGCAGUGGUCCUGGCAAUGCCCACCCCCAGCCAGCUCCGCCACUGCUUCAGGAACAGGGGCCCGGGUGCGGUGCCACCCGCGUCCCUGAGUCUGCGCCCUCUUCCGACAUCUUGCCCUCGAGACGGCCCCGUCGUCACCCUGCGCUUGUGGCUGUGGGGCCUGCAGGUGUGGACUGUCCUGGGUUGUGGGCCCGGGUCCAAGGCGUGCACAGGGCCCUCACAGGGAAGAGGCCGGGGCAGGUGGAGAGCCGGGGCCUGGUGCCCCGAGGCUGGUUGUGCUGGGGGAGGCCUGGCCUUCACCCAGGGGUGUCUGCGGCCUCUCGCAGCUGCCGAGGCCCCAAACCCUCUCCCCUGGAGCCUCUGGAAGGAGCCGGCCCUGUCCACAACCCUGACCUCAGCCUGCUGAGACCUGAGUCAGACCUCUGACCUCCAGAUCAGGAGGGUCUCUCCAAGCCCAUCCCAUGCCUAUCUUGGGGAAUCCGCCUGCGUCACUGCUAGAGGACAGCAGAAGCCUCUACCCACCCCGCGGGAGUGGGACUCAGAUUUCCAGCUCAGAGGCAGCGGCCGUGAGAGGCCGGGGUGUCGACGGAGGAGAGGAAGGUUUGGGGUCAGCCCGCUCCAGAGUUUCAGGCUUGGCGGAGCUUCACCAGAGCCGGUGCCCGCUCACGUCAAAGGGCCUUUGAGGGCGCGCACACGCG
ensembl:lncRNA